rnacentral:rRNA from 1 species
UUUUAUUUAAUUUAUUAUUUAAUUUAAAUUAUUUAUAAAUAAAUAAUAAUUUAAAUUUGAUUGGGAGGAUUAAUAAAUUUAAUAAACUUUAUUUUUAAAUUUAAUUUUGAUUUAAAGAUAUAAAAUGAUUUAUAAUUUGUAAAUAUAAGAAUAAAUUACCUUAGGGAUAACAGCGUAAUAUCUUUUGAUAGGUCAUAUUGAU